rnacentral:lncRNA from 1 species
GGCGGCCGACUCGGCGAGCGGGCAAGGCCAGCCACAGUGCGAGCGGGCAGGCGCGGCAAGGCGAAGUUGGCUCGGAGUGGUGGCAGAUCGCGGCAGCAGAGGCUAGGCCGGCUCGGAGUGGAUGCGGAUCGCGGGUCGAAGCUGACUCGGACGCGAGGCGAGGCAGGGCCGACGGGUGAAGCGGGGUGCAGUGGACGUGCGGUGGAGGCGGAACCGGCUCGACAGAGCCACCACUGUGCAGACGGAGCUCAGCGGAGCAGGUUACCACGACGAAGGCGUGCGCACACGCGCGUGGCGCAGGCCAGCGCUCUAGGUCGCCGACCGUGGCGCUAUGUCCAUGGUUGAUCCGCUUUUGGUCGUGGCUUCCUUCUCUGAUUCUGAUUAGAAACCUACUAGCAAAAAAGCCCGUGCGUUGCAACGGAGCAAACCAUACAACACGUCUUAACCUAAUAA